rnacentral:rRNA from 1 species
ACUCCUACGGGAGGCAGCAGUGGGGAAUAUUGCACAAUGGGGGAAACCCUGAUGCAGCCAUGCCGCGUGUGUGAAGAAGGCCUUCGGGUUGUAAAGCACUUUCAGUAGGGAGGAAGGUAGUGUAGUUAACACCUGCAUUAUUUGACGUUACCUACAGAAGAAGCACCGGCUAACUCCGUGCCAGCAGCCGCGGUAAUACGGAGGGUGCGAGCGUUAAUCGGAAUUACUGGGCGUAAAGCGCAUGCAGGCGGCCUGUUAAGUCAGAUGUGAAAGCCCGGGGCUUAACCUCGGAAUUGCAUUUGAAACUGGCAGGCUAGAGUCUUGUAGAGGGGGGUAGAAUUUCAGGUGUAGCGGUGAAAUGCGUAGAGAUCUGAAGGAAUACCAGUGGCGAAGGCGGCCCCCUGGACAAAGACUGACACUCAGAUGCGAAAGCGUGGGGAGCAAACAGGAUUAGAUACCCUGGUAGGAUAGCG